UCCUCCCCUGCUUAAUGAGUAACGAGUUUUUUCUAUUCCAAUAUCAAAUCCAGCUAUGUCUUGAGCUAGUAACCCAUUAAGCUCUCACUCCAUCUCUUUCCUUCUCUUUAAUUCUUCCUCCUCUUCUCUCAAUCCUCCUGUAAUCGCCUUGCACCUAUUGGAUCCCACUGCAUAAUGGUGGUGGAUCAUGAGCAACCUCUUUUCUUAUUUUAUUAACAUAGCACUUGCUUGUUCCUCCAUAAGAUCGAGCCAUCAAGCGCCUAUUUUCUCUCCUAAUUUUUUUAAGUCACGCUGCUCGCACCAUCUCGAUCCUCCACUGUUUGAUGCUCAUCUGGACCACCUCACAUCUUCUUCGAUC
rnacentral:lncRNA from 1 species